GAUGAGCUCAGUGAGACUGCUGUAAUCAGCGCUGAAGAAGGGAAGGACACAGAUGGAAGGCAGGGUUUGUCUUUCCAUAACACCCAAACAAGAAGAUUUUAUAAACUUAUUAGGAUAACUGGCAUGCAGGAAGAAUGGAUCUCUUCUGUCUUCUGUGAUUCCUGACCCACCUAAUUGCGUGAUUGUCAUGAGCAAUAACAACCUGGCUCAGGGGAGCAGCGCUGGGGAAAGAUGCUGACAUAUUCAGUAUGGCACGCUGCUUCUCCGUCCUGGAAUGGCUUCAUGUGGUAAGCGGGGUCUCACUCCCUGAGAGUCUGUUGGCCAGUGAGGGGAUUUAAAAGGGCUGACGAGCUGAGGCUGUCUGUUGAUCGGAUAGCUUCACUCCAGAUUUCAUCCAGGGAAAAGAAAUGUCCUCCAUAGUGAGGUAUGGCAACUCAUUAGUAGGAGCUGCUCUUUUUUUUUUUUUUUUUUUUUACCUUUUUCUUUUCCUCUUUUUUUUUUUUGUGAUUGUUUCCUCCCACCCCCUGCUUCCUUUCACAAUAGAGUGGCCUUUCCUCAGGAUCAGUUGAUUGACUUCACAGCUGGUAUUUGCAGUUUUCUUGCACUUGGUUAGACUCUAAGGCAAUAACUGUUUCUUCUUGGCUGAGACUUUGUUUUCCCUUUUUAAUAGUUUAUUUUGCUGAGAAGAUAAUUUCUCUAGCUGCUACAAACAACAGUGAUUUUGAUGUUUAUCAAUAAAGAAUUAGUCUUAGAGAUGUGUUUUCCGUGUAGAAGAUAGACGUAAAACCUACUUGAAAGGAAUUACAACCUUGCAGAGGCUUUAUACAUACAUAUAUUGUAUAUAAUAAUGUUUGCAAGCAAAGAGAAAAUAAUUCCAUCUUUUCAAUUGCAUUUUUUUCCUUAGUCCUACAGUUGCAAGAUAAAUACUCAGAAAUAUGAGUUGUUAAGGUUUAUAUGAUUAAAAUGAAUAUGUGAUAACGAGCUCUGCACAUUAAAGAGUAAGAGCUCAAAUUAUAGGCUCUGAAGUGGAACACUCGGUGAGCAUUUGGGAAUUUUGUUUGUGCAAGGAAUGCAGGCUUAGGCCCACAGUUGCAGUUGCACAACAAUUGCAUCCUGUCUGCUGUUUUUUAUCUCAGCUGAUCUGCACAGAAGUGUCUCGAGCACUGCGGUGUCAGGGUGAAAAUGUAGUCUGGGGUGAGGUAGAGGACGAAUGAAGAAAUAAUUUGAGUCCAAGUAUUAGUGUUCCUCUAUAAAAAUAGAUUCAUUUUACACAAAUGAUUCACGUUUACAAAGAUCAGUUUAUAGCAUUUUGACUGCACAGUACUUAAUUCUUUAUGUAUACAUUGAUCCUUCAUACAAAUGUAAUUCCAUAUACAACAGUUAAUCUCUUUGAGUGCAAGUUGAAAAUAUACUCUCAAUUAAUUUAUGUAGGUUAUGACUUUUUUUUUCACCUGUACUCGGCAGUGGUGUUACCUAUGCUAAAGUUGAGUCGGUGUGUGCUUAAUGAAAAUUAGAUGUGAAACGUAAUAUGUAGAGGACAAAGAAGCAUUGAGAUCCUUAUUGGUCUUAAAAAGACAGAGGUACUUCAGACAAUUUUCCUUUCUCAAUCUCAUGAGAAUUUGAUGUGUAAUUCUGUUAGGAGCAAUUUGGAGUGAAUGAGACUGAAAUAUUUUUAGAAACAGCAUUAGUGCCAGAUAUUAUUACGUGCCUUUUGUGAAGCCUAGUUUUGUUUUAAAACACUUUGCAUUUUAAGAGGCUAAUUUAUAGAGAAUCUCCCAUUGAGAAAGAAAGCUAGUGGACCUUUUGUGGAGAGAUGAGCCUAGCUGUUAUAUCUAUGCAAUUUGCUAAUGUUGCAAACAUUUAAAUGAGAUGUUUGUUUACAUAACAGUGAUGGAAUUUCUCCUCCUCUUCCUUGCGGUUUUGUCCAACUAGAUGUUGUGAGUGGCAGUUGCAGUGACUGCUAAGUGUUUAAAUGAUGACACCAUUAUGUGAAGUGAUUUUGAAAUGAGAGAUUCCAGCCAAGAAUUACAUCUGCUCUCAUCUCCUUCAAAUCAUACUCUCUGGCUGUGGAGAUUAUGAUUGAUUUGUUUGUGACAGAUUGCAGGAAACAGUCAUUGAUUUUUCAAUAUUUUACCUUAAAAUUAUUUACAGUUGUAACCAAGGGGAGGUAUUUCCAUGGGCUGUCAGCCCCUGAAAGACUGGGAUAAUAUUCCCUGCUCCCUGACAAGACAAAUUACCCGUAAUGAGUGCAGUAGCUGAAGGGUAUACUUUUAUUUUAAAAUAUGUCAAUAACCCCAGUGACUAAACGAAUAUUGAUUCAGCAUAAUGAAGCCUGAGUAAUGUGAAAAUGAGCUCUUCAAGGAGCAUGGUAAAGACUUUCUUUUUAGCUUGUAGCAAGAAGCUUUUCAUUCUUACUGUUAGGUAGUGGAAGUGUGCAGUCUUAAAGAAGUCAUCCUUAAACAGUAGCAGUACGCAGCAUAGUGUAACAAAAACUUAGGUGGGGUUUCUGUUGCUGGUGGUGGUUUCUUUAUUUUUAUUUUUGUUUCCAAGUUCUCUUUCUUCUGUGCAGUUCAGUAGAUCAUAUGAUUAAAGAGAAAAAUGCAAGUUAUCCAGGGCAGAGAGAGAAUUACUCUUGGUAUUGUCUUUUGCAAUAAUAUUCUUCAGCUUGCCUAAUGGCAUUUUUGUGGAUUCCGCAUACAUGAGCAUGUAAAUGUAUCUAAAUAAACUGUAGAUUUAAUUUUGUAUUAUUGACUUCUUGGAUGUAUUGAUGUGUGUUCUAUAUGAUCGGUCUAAUAUUCUUGUCCUUUAGCAGCUAUUUAGAAUAGCUGGUUUAUGAGAACCUAGAUAUACGAUAUUAUAAAACUUAGUUACCAUAGUGAACAUUUUUCUUACUGGUGCCUUGUAACACCGCGCGUUUCUUACAGAAUGAGAAUUUUCAAGCAGUAAUUCAUUUAAAUUACAGUAAUUUAUGCAGUGCCAUAGGUGUGGUGUGGAAAAGCAUCUAAUAGAUUAAUACAGUUGUACUUCAGUUGUUCAGGGUAAGGAUUAGAUUAAAGACCAUGUUGAGGUACAAUUUUCUUAACAUUAAAAAUCGAACGCUAAAAAAAAAUUAUCAUGUGAAGGGAUCAGUUUGUCAUUUGUAUUCAAGAGCACUGCGCAACACUGGGAGAGCUCUGCAAAAGCACUAGGCAUAAGUCACUGUGUAAGCCAGUGACAUGCGACAUGCGCUAUUUUGUUGGAAUGUUUGCGUACAAUAUGUCAAUUAUGAAACAAUAUCAUAGCCAGGAGCAUUUAGUGAGUGUGUUUGGGCACAAAGAUGACUUUCCUUAUUUUUUGAGGACUGACUUCAAUUGCAUCCAAGCAGCUCGUGAAAAUCUUCAGAAGGACGCUUCCUCACACAGGUGAUUUUUGCAAAUGUCAUUCCUCUAGCACAGCUAGAAGGUACUUUCAGAAGGCACUGGAGAACCUGUGGCAUUGAGAGUUAAAUGGCAACCCUGGAACGUAAGAGAUGUUACAGUUUUUUAAUUUGUUAAUUUGCAGAAGGAUGCAGUGUACAUUUGUUUAGUUUGAGAGGGAUUGUGCACAACACCAGGGAUUUGCAAAAUACUGGUGAAGUGUCAGUGGUGAGGGAGUAAUAACCUCAGCUACAGAAACAGCCAUCACGAGAAUUUGGUGCUCGUGGAGCUUAAGCUUAAACUGGUUAAACAGCUCAAUGGUGUUCUACCCAUCCCAAAUCCUCUGACUGUCUUCUUUGUUUCUGUGCUUUUUUUUUUUUUUUUUUUUUUUCCCCAACAGCAGGAGGUGGGAAGGGAAGGUGGUCUUUUGGUAGUUUUCCCACAGCAGCAAGGAAGAGGGAGGCUGGUCAGGGCUCAGUGCCAGUUCUAAUGCAGACCGAAGGGCAAAUAAAUGUUUGUUUUAACCACAUCUGCUUUUCCUGGAUAACGGUGUAUGAGCUCAGUGUUACCAAGCUGAACAAAAGCUGAACUGCUGGAGGUCCUGCCGAACCAAAGUGGGCUCUGCUUGAAAACCAUUGGCUUGUUUCACUUGCAGCACAGGUAGCUCCUCUUGCUCUGCCACCUCUCCCUGAGACAAAGUUUGCUUAUUAAAUACUUGCCUGCAUGGCAGUCUGAUUCAGGCCUGAGGACGUGCUUGGCACUGAGGCCAAGUGGCACAUUCUUGGCUGCAGGAAGCUGACAAAUGGCUUGGGAGCUCUGCUGGUGAUACCAGAGAUUUCUGGUGAUGGGAACUUGGAAUCUCUUACAUUUCUCCCUACAUCUCCUUUUAGCAUUAGAACUGCUACAAUUGCUAGUAUGCUUUCAGGUGACUAAGGAGGAUAAAACAAACAAAAUGAAUCUUAAAUGGUUUUGUGGCAUUUGGUAUCGAUCUCCUAGGAGCAGGAUGUAAACCCAACUGCAGAUCAGUUAGGCGAAAGAAGAGGAGGAAUCACUAUGAAACGAAGGUUGUGGGCAACAAGGGAUUAUCUUAUUUGUGGCAGAGAAGAAGCUGUUGGUAAACCAUAUGGGGCUCAAUAUAGGUUAGGGUUAAUAUUUAGGGUCAUGUGCAGAAUGCGGGAGGAUAUGGAAGUGUAGGUGAUGGAAGUCAUGCUUACUGGCUAAGCUUCCCCCCCAUACUGUUAGUUAGAAAUCUAAGAGCUAACAGUCUGUUAAGUGGUCACCACCGUCCGGCAUUUGCUAAUCUAAAUGGCAUAGCUACCUGAAAGCUGUUCUUGUGCCUUAAACUGCAUGUCUUGAAGUUGCUGUUUCUUUUGGUUUUAAUUUAUGCACAAAGAAUUUAUCAUCAAAAGCAUUUACGUGCAUGUAGAAUAUUAACUUUUUCUAGAAAGACCACAUUACGUACUGAAAGUUUUCCCUAAUUUAAGUAGUGAUAGAAUUGCAGAGUGCUUUUUAAGAUGCCUUGGUGUUUAUGGUGAACUGUUAGAGGGAGAUAACCCUAAAAGUCUGCGAGGAGGACCCAAGGUGCUUUGAGGGUCUAGCCUAACUGCUGCAGUUAGAAAGGCAUGGCUGAGUUAAUGCAUGAGUGUUGAAAUCUGUGUUUAGAAUUAUGGGAACAAGUUGAGAAAAAAAGCUUAAUUGAUUGUUGAUUAUUUUCCUUGGUAAAUGCUGGAGAAAGAUGUAUUGUACUUUCCAAUGUUUUUUAAGGAAGAUCCAUGGUGUCCUUUGUUUUGUUAACUUAUCUUUUAAUAUGGAAUGUCAUUCCCAAAAUGAAGAAAUGUCCUUGGGCUGGUGGCAACAGCUGGAGUUGCAGAAUUCAUAAAUAAUUCAGAGAGGGAUAAAGGGUAGGGUUUUUUGUCAUUUGAAUCUUUAUUAUGUGCACACAUUUCAUUUUAGAUAUGGCAUCAUUUGAAUUCAUUCGAUAUGAUGAUUGCACUGACCUGUCAUAUUUAUUUUGAUGUCCCUUCGAAGGACCAUAUGCUCUGUCCUUACGAUGCUCGUCACGAAAAAGGAUGCCGGUUGCUAACCAAGAAGGCAGCUAGGUUCCUGUAGGGCUGAAGACCCCUCAAUUCCUGUUGUCACGUCAGUAGGUGUGCUGCUGCAGUGCAGUAGAAGACUGCGUAGCUGUUACGUCAGUGCAGUGACCUAAGUGGCAGUGUGGCCUAGAGAAAGGUAGAAGGCAGACACAGUUUGCAUGCAGGUGUUUCUUGGCAUUAAAACCUCAGCUGCCAUUUGAGGCUAGUUGAUGUGAGGAACCUAGAACGUGGAAGAUGCCAACUAGAAAUCUGCCAGGUGUGCUAUGACAGCUUUAAUGUGGAAAUGUUGGAAGCGGGAUUGUCAUACAGAGUCCUGGAGAUAUGAGGCUCGGGCCUUUUCAUUGACUAAUCCAUGCUCUUCUUUCCUCUUAAAGAAGCUGCUUCCUUAGCCAAAUAAAGCCUCAGAUAAUGGCUUUUGGAAAAUAUGCUGUGAUCAUUGUUCUCAAAUUCUGUGGCAGCUGUUGCAUCUGUUCCUGUGCUGUGGACAAGUGGUAUAUUUUCGAGAAGUUGCAUAGAAAUGUAAGAGUUUCAAGUUCAAGCAUAGGCCAUAAGUAAAGAACUGCAUGAUAAUGACUCAAGUCUGAUUUCCUGCUGGUUAACACCCUGGCUGGUAUCAGCAAUUCAUAGUUGGUAGAUAACAGGACCCUGUUAAUGAUACCUUUAUAGGCACUGUUAACGUGAUAGGAUGCAACCAUGGCAAUUCCUUGGUGUAAGGUGUAAUUGCAGCAGUGAGCAGUGAUUUUUAUGAAGUAGUUUGUCCAUUGUGCUCAUAUCAGAGGCAGAAGGAGGCUAAUUAAGUGCAAGUUGGUGAAAUACAGUAACUAGAAGCUGUGAAUGGGAAUGAUAACUGUUUGUAAAAUUAUUUCUUUUCUAGAUCCUGCCAUCAAUGACUGAACCUCCCUGAAAUCUUCUUAUCAGUUACUGCUGAGAUGAGAAGGAUAACAGGAAAGAGGAGUGCUUAAGUGGUUUUCAUGACAGUUAAUUUCAUCUAUUUAUCAAAUGACAGGUUGUUUUUUCCCUCAAAACUUGAUUGUCACGACAAGAUGCUUUUGGAAGUUAUCUUUGUAAAAUGAAACUGACAAUUUUUAGGCUACAAAGAGUGAUUGUAUCUUUCUAUACAGUGUUGUCAUUAUGGUAAAUCGCUGGAAAGUCGUUAUUUUUGAAGUAAUUGAACUUGCAUACUUCAGUCAUUUAUUUGAAAGUAUGUUGAAUGCCAUGUGAGAAGUUUCUUGCCAGAGUUCUUUUAUUCAAUGGGAUAGUUAUUCUUACAACACUCAGUUUGUUAUUGUCUAAAUUACUGUUGCCUUAGCCCUCUGCAAAAUGUUUCUUUUUAGUAAUUCUUAAACAAGUAAGGAAUGAAUGAGGUUUUGUCCGUGGUGUUUUGAUGGCAUAUUUUACCUUUCAGUAAAAGCUUCUUUAGUUUUCAGAAUGACAAUAUUACAAAGAAAGGUGCUUUACUUUCUUUAUUUUUUUUUCCAACAGAAAGUGUGUUUUGUGCAAUGAUUUCUUGAAUAUGUACAUUGCCAAGACACAAUUACUGGAAGGAGAGACGAGCUGUUGGGAACGUUGUGUUAUGCCAAAUUAAGAAUUAUUAAUUCUUUCUUUCUCUGUGCAAUCUUUUUGACUAUAGCUCGACCUAUUAUGUCUGGCUUAUACUUUGUCUCUAGUGGAACUAAUGUGUCCUCGGAGUUGCAUUUUAGAGUAACUUCAGAUUCACGUCUUUUUUUUUUUCCACAAGUCUGCUUUAAAUUGCUGGGAUUAAGUUCAGAGAAGGCAAGAGGUGCAGCCUCCUUUGUCAGCGUCUGUGCUGGUUAAAGAAGGAAGCUUCAUGCACGCUUGCUCACUCUCUUGCAAGUUAUUGCCCCUGCUAGGCAAGCAUGCUGAAGUGUUUCACUGAGCACACCCAGAUUUAAUUUAGCCCAAGCUGAUCACGUUAUCAAAUCCUGGUUAACUGGUAGCCUGGGUCAUUUUGAUGAAAGGGCAGGGAAUGUGCAGACCAGCUGCAUGGAUGGCAUGUCUGGGAAGGUGGCAUGUUAUCAGGAGUGUGUUGAGGAGCUGCUGCUGGUGUAGUCUUUUCAUCAUAUUCACUUGCAUCUCUAAGAUGCAGCAAAAAAAUGUGACCUGGUGGAAAGCUAGUCAGUUAUAUCAUGUAUAAUUUGUGUGUUUCAGGGAUGGACUGCAUAGUUUGCCAAUGCAAGUGGAGAGAGAGAGUGAGUAGGUAGCAGAGGACGGUGAUUGCAGGGAAAUCCAUCUGUGGUCAAAAUGUUUGAACAGUACAAAUGUUUCCAUACCUAGCAAACACACUGCUGCAUGAACACACUCAUCAAAGAGGCUGCCUCAACUACUGCAUGCAUUGGCAGAACUGCUUUUGACACACGGUGUCCUGAGCUGCCUUUAGAGAAGAGGGGAGAGCCCCCAACUCUGCAGCAGAGCUCCAUCUCCCCAUAUUCUGCUGCUUGUCUUUCUGUCUGAUGGUUCAUCAGUAGAUGCAGGAAUCCAGUGAGAUAUGCAAGGUCUUGGUGUUCCCUGUGUUAAAAUCAGAAUGUUACAGAUGAUCUCUAGUAGUGGAGGCAUACUGGGUUAAACCAGCACACCUCAAAACUGACUCUUCUUGCACGGAGGCUGUGGACUGUAGGUGCUGUCCCACAAACAGGACUCGGGCAGACAAAGAACAAGAGGCUUUCUGAGUAGUCAGAAACCUGAGAGCAGCAACUCUGCUUGCGUCUCCUCUUGGGGCACUGCUAGAUGAAAAGAACUCAGUUCAGUAGCAGAAAGGGCUGAACUUCCAGCUCAGGGGGCGUUGCAUUUGAUACCUUUUAAUUGGUUCUCUGCUGAAGAAUGAGGAAGCAUGCCCUGGCCUCUCUCACGUGCCAUAGGUAAGGGAGGAAAGCAAUGUACAACAUCUGGAGAGGAACUGGUGUGCACCAGGGAUAGCACCAAGGUACUGCUGUGCUGGAGAGAGCAGCCUCCCCUGGCUGGUUUAUCCUCCAAUAGCACGGUGCUUUCAGACCAAAGCCUGCAUCUGCUGAGCACUAACCUCCUGUGGGCCUCUAAAGCAGCAGCGUGAAGAGAUGAGGGAUGGGCGUUCAUAGGACUAAGACACACAGAUUUGGGUAUGUGCACAAACUUAAAAUGGCUAGUAUUUCUACAUUGUGUUAAUAGAUCUGAUGUGACUGUGAAAUCUGUUGCUUUACUGCCAAGUUCUGAGUUAACUUGGCUGUGUACUGCUGUACGUUGAGAAAACAUUGAGCUCUUCCAUCAAAUUCUUUAUUAUUCUUGUUAACCUGUACACCGAGCUCUGCGCUGCAAAUGUGCGUAGCUCAAGGAGGCAAAGCACCAACCACAUAAUUUCUAAAAUCCUCAGCUUUCUACUGAUCCAAUCUCUUUAUUUCUAAGGUGAAUUCGGGGUGGCUCCAGGUAUGGGAGCUGAGCCCUGUGACGGCAGCGUGGGGUCAAGCUCCUGCUGAGCUCUGGGCGUCCGUGCUGGUUUCAGACAUGAAGUGCCUCAUCCCAAGAACUUCUGAGACGUCUCCCAUGGCCGCUGAGAGCUGAGCCGCUGCAGCUCCUUGAGACAGCCCAUAAUCCUUGCAUCUUAAUAUGGGCCAUUGUCAUACCCAUGUUAAAAUCCUUAAUGAAAUGCUUGUGACUUCCUAAUAAACUUUUUGUCUGCUCAAGUGUUAAUACCAUAUAGUUAUGUGUAAUUAAACCAGUGCUGAAAAAUAACAUCUGUCUUAUGUAGAGCACUGUCAUGGCUGUGUUAUGCCAAUGAGUAAAAUUUUAUGUCCAGGCACUUAAAAUGAUCAAGCGCUAUAGUUAAGGCUGUCAUAUUGUUUAUAUAGCACUAAAAAAGAAAACAAAUAUGGUUUCAGAGCAGACAGACUUUAUUUUCUUAUAAAUACUCCAAAUAAUAGGUUGGUUUCAACUAGACUUUCUGGCUCUUCAGUGAUUGCCGCAUUCUGUAUGGAUAUAUCAGAAUUCCAGGCAUUUCAUAAUUUAUGUUUAUUAUUAUAAACACAUGAUUUCUGUGUAUGGUUGCCACAACUAUGUUGGACAAAACAUAGUUUACCUUCUUAAAUGGUACUGUACUUUUACUUUUGAACUUCUUUAACUUCAGUCUUGGUUGAAUAAAAUGUGCGUUCCUGAAAAUAAUCUGUACAUCUGUAAUAUGGCAGUUGAUUUUACAUGGCUGUUUUCAUACUCCAGACAUAGCAAAGCAUUUUCAAGGCAAUAUAUGUUGACAAUGUGUGGAGAUAAAAAUCAGUUAAUGACAAACUCUUAAGGUGUACAUUUUUAAUAAGAGCAACGAAUCAUUAGAAAUUAUUAGAAAGGGAAUAGUAGAUUUUCUAGCAUUUGAAGUUGUUGAAUGAAGAUGAAAUGUUUUCAUGGACAUAUGUGCUUGAACAAAUGCAUGGGUGGGGUAGAAGAAUUCCUUGUGGGCUUCUGAGGCUUUUGUUACACCUGGGGUCAGACUGGGUCAUCUUAAAUGUACUUCUGGCUUAGAAGAGAGGGCGGUAUCUUGGUAUAGCUAAUACCUAUAACGUAGCAACUUCCACCAAACAGCUAUUAAAAUUUACUUGAACAUCUCUCUAAAAAAAACAAAACAAAAACCAAAACAUCUGGGAGGGGGCAUUGCCUAACAACUACUUUGGCAAGGCUUCUGACUUUUCAGAUCAUGCCUUUUUCAAACGUGCUUUUUUAUCUCACUGUGCUUGGUUCCAAAGAGCUUAAUGUGUCGUUGGCUUUAGGUGGGUUUCUUUCACUCAUCCAUCCCUCCUCCCUGCCCCCCUCCCCCCAAUUAAUCAAACAGCACGUGAAAAAACAGAGCAAUUGUCUUUUAUACUGCUUACUAAGUGCAAUGCUGCCUUGUUGCUAGAAAUAAUUGUUAGGUUUAAAAUAAUCUGACAGCAUCCUGCUGUGUAUAAAUUAGGUUUGUUCGCUGCUAAGAUUAGUUAGCUGGCACCCAUUCACUAACACAUCACAAAAAAAUGAUCACAAGUAGAUCGUGUCCGGUUAUCUGCCUUUUUUCUUUUUAAUGGGCUUUUUGUUGCUGUGCUGUCACCCAGGUUGAAAUAAACGUGUGCAAGUCAUACGAUUCCAAGUUCUCUGCAGUCUGGGGAGACAAUAUUGGCUCUUUGGGAAAAGACCUGGGGGCGUAAGCACUGGAGAAGGGGAGAGGUUGUUUGCACUUCAAUUUCUGAAUCUUGCGCACCUUUAUUUUUGGCCAGGUUGGAUAUCUUCUGCUCUAUGGCAAGCAGUAUAUUACCAGUGAAGUCCAAUAUGCCAGGUAUAAUUAGCUCAUGUGUUUAAAGAGCUGUUGUUAUUUUUUAACUUGUAUGUACUAGUCAGCUUUCAUGCAGAAGUACGUUUUACAUGGAAAGAAUGCUGUGUGAUUCAGAGAAAAUAGAAAUGCUAUUUAAAGUUGUGCGCUAGUGUUUUAGAUUUCAAAAAAGACCACAAGGUUUUUAUUUCUAUGUUUAUGAUUGAUUAGGGUUAGAGUUUUAAAAGCUUAACGCUGACUAUAAGAGCUUUGUAGUCUGUCACUGAGAAUUAUGGGCUUGGCAUAAUUCACAUUUUUAUUCUUUAGUAUAUCCAUUAUUGUUAGAUGCCAAGUAGUCGUUGCACACAGAUAACUAUGUUGGUUUUUGGGGGGGAUUUUACAUCUUCACACAUUCUGAAAAAUACUUCGUUAAAGCAGCUCCCGAGUGAAUGGGGUAAUUAAAGAACUUCACCACUUUUAUUGAAGUUGACACAUGCUGCAUAUUCUUUAAAACUCAGUAUGUGAGCAGAAUGUUUCCAGAAUUUAUUGAAAGUCAGCACCUAGAGAUACUAGGGAAGCUUUCAGUAGUAGUAAAGAUAACUUCAGUUUUUACACAGUUAAAUAAACCUGUCUCUAAGAAGAGAGCCAUUACUGCAAUACAUUACUCAUGACCUUUGUAUUUUCUGUACAUAUACGUUUCAUGGAUGCAUACACACACACACCUGUACAGAAGUGCUGAGGACCUGAGCAAUUUUGUUUGACAGUAACACAAUCGUAUAUUCUAUUUAGUAUUUAUUUGCAGAAAAAUAGUGUUGCAAUGUUGACUGAAGAUCUUAAUUUACUUAGUCCCAGUGGAAUGUUGCAGCCUAUUGAUUUUUAUUUUUUAACUGAAAUGCAAUCCUGCUUAGUUUGACUUGCAGCUCUUAGUGUCUGAGAGACAAAGCAAGUGAAGAAUCUCACUUAACGUAAACUGCAGACUUGGUUUAAUUUUAAAUUAUAUGAGUGCAGCGUUCCGUAUGCACGAUGCCUUGGAAGUAGCAAAAAAUGUGAACUCAUAGUUGGAACACACAGUGACCAAUCAUGUUAGACAUGAAAUUCCUCAAAAUGUCUAUUGAACAGAUAUAAUUGCUGAUACUAUAAUUUUUAGCGAUAUGAUUUUCCUUUCAUUUUCUUUCUUUUUCCAGCAUAUUGGAACAAUUUAAAGUCAAUUUGAGAACAUUCAGUUAGUCGUCCUUUCCUGUCAAUGGCUCAUGUCUUAAAAGUAUCUUUAAUAUUUCUUUUUUAAAGUUAAAGUAUGUAUUUAAGGUAGAGGUAACAAACAUGCAGCUUUCAAGAUCAAACCAUAUUUUAGCUCUCGUUUGCAUUUUGUUUACGUGGCCCAUGGCAUGGAGAGCCCUGCCAAGUACACUCCAUUCCUCUGGAUUUCAGUGAGAACUGAAUGACCAGAGCUGUGCACAGCUAAGCACACAGCCUUAUCAGCGUUCAUGCUUUAUGUAGAUACAGGCACAAAGUGCUUUCCUGAAGGAGCAGGCGGUCUUGGAAUAUAUCAGAGGGCCAGAUUCUUCCACUGUGAGCAACCCCAGCAUGCAGCUGACGCUAUCAGAAGCCGCCGCACCUCUGUCAGACCCAGGCAGUGCCAGGUUAAAGCGUGGCCAUCUCCAUUACCCUGCUGAGAGAGAGGAAGUCACUGCAGACCAGCAAAGUGGCUGGAGGGAACAAAGUUUGUCAUCCUGAGACACCAGACCUUUGACGAGACUCAGGUAACCUCUGACAGCGUGUACGGUGCUAACAAAGAGUCCCUGUCAGCCUUUGUGGAAGACUUUGAGACUUCAGUCAGCGUUGACUUUCUAGAAGAUGAGGAGCGUGUUGGCGAAGUGCUAGACUGUGGUUCUUCGGAUCUAUGGGAUCGUGGAGGAACAGAAGAAGCUCAGCAUGAAGAUGAAAAGAUGACAGAAGCAGCAGCAUCCCAGAAGUUGUGAUCACACAGGCAGAUGAGGCUGAAAUGAAGUUAUGCGUUAUUUGGCUGUUGACUCACAUCUUGUGGAGCUGGACCUCUGAAAAACACAGGCGUAUGUUGGUCGUGAAUUCUACAAGCUGCCGUUUCUGGUUAUUUUUCCGUUUUCUGCCGAAUCCCAAGCGCCCCUGAAUGCAGUCCAUUGGUUUUGGGAUGUGGAGAGCCGUAUGUGCGGCCCCACUUUUCUAAGACGGCACUCGACUGGGCAGUGAAGCACGGCAAUCUUGAGAUGGCAGAGAUGGUCGCCAAAGCAGGCGUCGAUGUCAAUGCUAAAUCGUAUGUCACUUAUUUCAUUGUGACAGGGGUAAUGUAUUUGUAAACUGUGCUAUAAAUAUUGGAAUCUCAUAUUCAGACACCAGCAUAUCUCAUAUUCAGACACCAGCAUUUCUGAGCUAUGCUUUUUCAAAUGAAUUUAGAAUUGACAAAAAUUUUCAAAGCCAAAUUACUAGUGUGUCACUGUGAAAUUAGGUUCUUGACCCUGCUUCUGAUGUAUGCUUAUUUUUCUACACAUUUUCUCCUUCAAUUUUAUGCAUCACUAUUCACUGCUGGAAUUGGUGACAUGGCUUUCCCAAAAGGGGGUCAUUGAUAGUGAAAGCAAGCAAUAUGUUUCCUGGUGUUCAACCAUGUGGCACUUCACUAGUCACAUAAUACACUAGAUAAGCAGCUGACAGUCUGUGCUGCUCUGAAUAGCAUAUGUGCAUGCCAUCUGAAAGCCAGGAGCCAGAGGACAUAGAUGCAGCCAACAGAGGGAGUCAAUGGCAGCCAAGCACUGGCCAUUCGACCAGCACUUUGGAGAAGAGAAGAAUGGACAGCUUCGCACUUAUGGUCAAAGAGUAGAAGAUUUCAGCUUGUUUUCCCAGUCCCUAGGCAUCUUGACAGGCCCUGUGCUCUUCUGCUUUCAAGCUGCAGCUUGCCUACCUGAGAGAAGUUUAGUGCCAGCUCUGCAGAAGGAGGUGAUACCCACCAGAAGGUCAAGUAUGUUGAGGAAAGGUUGGCCCCCCCUUAUAUUUUUUAUCUGGACAUGGAAGGUAUCAUCGGUAGUGUUUGCUUUUUUUUGUCUGCUAAGGAUAGCUACCAAGUAGUAUACAGAAGCUGUAAUUGCUAUCUAAUUAGCAUUACGAACUAAAACCUACGUUGCAGAGAACACCUGCUUGCUCUUUCUUUUAGAAUAUAGUAGUAAUGUUUAAAGUCUCUUGUGCAUACUCACAGCUUGUUACCAAACAGCUUGAAUGAUAUAGUCCCCACCAACCAAAUUGGUGUUCCCUUCAGACUAAGGAAAGUCUAAGUCUCAGUGCUGGUAUAUAUAAUGAAGAGAACAACAGUCUUUUCUCUUUGACAGAAACAAGCUGUCAUGGUAAUAGUGAAAUGAGAUAAAGAAGAAAAAAAUAUUUCAAAAUGUUCUUAGACAGGUUCAGGCAACAUAUAAAUAGAAUAAUAAAUCUGGCAAGAAAGAUCUGUUUACUUUUUACUCGAAAGGACUAAGAAGUGGGUUUUUUUCCUUUUUAAAAUGUGAAUUUUGUUUCCUUCCACCUGAAGGCUGCAGAGGAUUGCAGCUGUCCACAGCAAGAAACUCAUCAUUCACUCUCUGAUCAGCACAUACAGUUGUUUGUUGCAGACCAUUGCAUUAGCCAGACAGGGCCAUAUGAGGGAUGCUGCAUGAGGUCCUGUUGCAUUUAACCUGCUAGAAGAUGGAGAGUGUUUUGAAUUAUCUGUAUGUUUCAUUUGUUGCCUGUCUUUGGUCAGAUGAAACAAUAAAGCAGUUCACUGUGUAGCUUUCAUACCAGUACCCAGGAUUCUGUCAAGUUUGGCUGAUGAGUUUUUUCAUCUGAAGUUGUCUUGUGGACUUUAUAAGACCAGACUUUCAGACAACUGAGAUGUACAACAGAUACACCAUACUGUUUGCAGUUACCCAGCUCAAAACCAAAAG